UUGUCGAAACCUGCAAAAAUAGACCGCGAACACGUUUAAAUAUCAUUGGGACCACGACAGGAGGGUAACCUCAUGCUCGUGUUCCCACCCCGCAUGCGCGCGCUCGAGUGCGUUUCGUGCGGGCUAACGAACCCCGGCGCGGCAUGCGCCAAGGAAAACUCAUGGAAACGCCCGCCUCCUGUCGCCCCGUUCGCGGUGACUGAUGGGUGGUGAGGACGUCUCUCCAAUGUCUAAACGACUCUCGGCAACGGAUAUCUCGGCUCUCGCAUCGAUGAAGAACGUAGCGAAAUGCGAUACUUGGUGUGAAUUGCAGAAUCCCGUGAACCAUCGAGUCUUUGAACGCAAGUUGCGCCCGAAGCCUCUCGGCUGAGGGCACGUCUGCCUGGGCGUCACGCAACUCGACACCCCCCCAAUCUCGUCCACAAGGGCGAUCGGAUUGAGGGGGUGGAUGAUGGCCCCCCGUGCGCAUGGACGCGCGGUCGGCUUAAAUGCGAACCCGAGGUGACUCACGUCACGACUAGUGGUGGUUGAUAGCUCAACUCUCGUGCUGUCGUGUCGGUCGAUGUCGUCUCUCGGGUGUCUUGGUAGACCCAAACAGCGCAAGAUUCUUGUGCUUUCGACUGCGACCCCA
rnacentral:rRNA from 1 species